rnacentral:rRNA from 1 species
CCGACCCGCACGAAAGGCGUAACGAUUUGGGCACUGUCUCAACAACAGACGCGGUGAAAUUGUAAUUCCGGUGAAGAUGCCGGAUACCUGCGACAGGACGGAAAGACCCCAUGGAGCUUUACUGUAGCUUGACAUUGGGUCUGGGUACUACAUGUACAGGAUAGGUGGGAGGCUUUGAAACCAGGACGCCAGUUUUGGCGGAGCCAUCCUUGGGAUACCACCCUUGUAGUACUGGGACUCUAACCAUAGGCCAUGAAUCUGGUCUUGGGA